AGCACGAGCCAUCCACGUCCCCAGUCCCCACACACGCACCAGCAGAACCCAGCGCAACCGAUGGCGUCGCUCACCAUGAUGGCGUCCUUCGCGGCCGUGGCGGCGGCCGCGCCCUCCCGCCGCGGCAGCUUCGCCGUGGCCAGGGCCGCCAGGGUCGACCGCUGCCAGCAGGAGCCCGCUGCGAGGCUGGCGGCCGAGGAGGCCGAGGCCCGGCCCGCCGAGGGCCGCCGCGCCGUGAUGCUGGCGGCGGCGGCCGCGUGCGUCGCGGCCAUCGGCGGCGCCGGCGCCGCCAUGGCGGGCCCCAAGAACGGGACCCCCGAGGCGAAGAAGAAGUACGCGCCCAUCUGCGUCACCAUGCCCACCGCCAAGGUCUGCCACAACUGAUGAGAGAUCGAGCACGCUGCAGGCAGGGGGCGUGCGGGGGGUUGUGCGUGUGGUAUAUAAUGCAUGCUAUGCGUCCGGUUUGUCUCUCCUUGUU
rnacentral:lncRNA from 1 species